UUGAGACUCACCCUAGGUUAUAAACUCUAGUAUCUUCUUUUCUUCUCUAUAUACUUCUUCAUUCCAUUCUUUCUGUUUACACUAGAAGAAGAACAAGGCAACAAAUGGGUUUUGGAAUGAGAAAGGGUUUUGUAUGGGAAUGUGGUGGUGGAGACUCAAAAAUCUAAAUCAAGCAUCAUGGUAUCUCCUCUCAAAACAAUAAGUAAGUUUAAUUAAUAUGGAUACUGUCAUUUGACUCUUUUGAGUGAUUCAAGUUUCUCAAGUACACAAACCUUUUUGGUUCUUACGAUCGAUCUGAACUUAGAAUGGGUCAUGGCGACCUUUUAUUGCACUAAAAUUUACUGCAUGAUUUCUGCUUGGGGUUACCAAGAAGCUGCCUCUUCAUGUCCUUUUUUUAAAGUAGGAUCAUGCCAGUGACCUAACUGAUUGAUUUAGCUACAGAAGUAAAUUAUUUUCUUUUUCUAUCUUGCUGCGUCUAGUAAAUUAUGGUACCCUGACCCUCAUUCCAGUUAAUGAGGGUCAAUAAGUAGCCAACUUAGUUCAAAGCAAUUCUUCCUUAAUUAAUGUAUGUAUCUUCCUUUGCGUAAUGAACUGAUUAACUAUUCCUUGGCAUUUCAUAGAUUUCGACUUAGAUGAACCUGAAACCUGGAAGGCAUUUGAUGUUACACAGAAAACUCACCAAUGCAUAUAAAUUCUGCACAUCACCUGUCAUAGUGUUGCCCUUUUAGGUUUUUUCAAUUGUGGUUGAUGUUAAUUGUUUUAAGCUUAAGUGUGCCUUGAAGAUUAAAGGUGGUCUAUCUGUUAGAAGGUUUGGGUAUGAAUACUACUCCUAACAGAUAGAGUAUUUGAUUAGGCGAAUUCUACCAUGAGCUGGUUAGAGUUAUUCGUUAAGAGACUUGAGUAGUUAUGGGUGAUCUUUUUAUGGUGAAGAAUUGGGAACCAGGAUAUGAUAUUUUUGAGAUGCUUCUUAACAAUGUGGAUAUGAUCACAAGUAUUCGAGAUAUGAACUUAGAACAAACUGAAAAUGGAUUGCUUGCUAUGAGGAUUCGUAUAACAAAGCUACUUUCUUUUGAUGUAUCAAUCUUUGCGUCCUGGUAAGCUGGUACUCAUGCUGAAAAUGGAAGAGGAGGCGUUAAUUAUCUCAGUUUUGAGUAUCAUGGUCUGCCAUACUCGUUCUGUUGUUUCUGCCGUCGGCUUAGACAUCAUCAAGAUGAAUGUGCGGAUUACCUACAAGCACAACUACUUGUUCAACAUGAGCGUGCAAUCCUCUACCCGCCUGAGUUUCAGCCACCAUUGCUUGUGUCUGAAGAUGAAAUGGAAGAUUCUGGCAGUGACAGCGACAUUCCUUCAGCAACAGGAAGGUUUUGCCAAAGUACUGUUUACCCCAACAGGAUGCUACUAUGGAUGUAUUGGGUGGCAGCAGUCAACCUCAUCGGUAAUGCAAGCUGAAGGAGUGUCUAGCUUCACUUGUCACCAGUGGGCACAAGAACUGAAGUUAUCCGAGGUUCGUUUUCUAACAGACACCUCGCCUUUGCAACUGCCAUCUCUGCUACUCUUAGAAGAAAAACUGUGUAGCUGUUAGUAUAGCAGUGCUAGUUGCAAACUUUACAAGUUCUAACAGUUGGAUGUAUCACCUUCCUAGGUACUUGUCAAACAAACUGAAUAUUCUCUAUAAUACCUUUUUACAGUUCAUAAUGGAA